CCCCUCGGCGGCCCUAGACCCCUGUCCGCCUUUCACUUUCAGCCUGGAGUUUGUCCCGGGCGCGCAGGCCUGCCCUCCGCCCUGUCUCCGUCCGCCGCCGAGCCCCGCUCCGGGCAGCUCUUUCUCGGACUCCCGGACCCCUGCUUUGAGCUCUCCAUUUCCGUCCCCGCUGCUUCUUGCCUUACCUGUCUUUUGCGCGCGGCCACUUCCUCGCCUUUGGGACCCUCUUCUCCCGCCUGCUUCUGGCGCUCUUUAGUCCCACUCGCCCGGCCCUCGCCCCAAGCCUCUUCCGCCGGGACCUUUUCCUUCCAGCUUUCUCUUCUCUUCUCCCCUUCACCUCCCUCCCUCCCCCAUCUCCACCUUCCUUUGCCUCCCUUCCCUUCCCCCAUCCUUGUUUUAAAGCAGCCAGAGCUGAGCGCAGAGGAGUGGUGUCCUGAAGAGGAAAAGACUUUGAGGAACGCUCGAGCCUGAACGCUGCGGAAAGGGGACAAAGGACAGGCCGGGUAGUUAUUUAUAUCGAAAGUGGGAUGUGGAGCAGCGUGCUGCUUAACGUUUGGGGUCGUCCGCACUUCCGCAGGGCAGAAGGGCUGCUGGUGAUGUAUCUGCCAGAGGGCAAAGCAACAACUCCACCAGAGUGGAUGAAGGGGAGGAAGCCUCUCUAUCGGAAGUGGCGGUAUCCUGACAUUUACCAUGAAGCUGCAAGGUCUGGGCUGCUCAACUCAAAUCCUAUCGGUCCCACUCUUCAUUCUCCAGCUGUGAGACCUGGGACUCAGCCACUGAAUCCUGCAUCCGAACAUCUUUAUCAAGAUGCUGUAUAUGCCACAAUGUCAUCAAUUGCCCUUUUGAUUUUACUUGCUGCUGAGCUUCAGUGAGAAUCACACAUUUAAUCUACUUUUUGCUGAUUUGCAUAGAGAAGGAGAAAAGGAGAGAAAGUCCUUUGUGUGCCAAAAAUUGUGGUCAUCAUUGAAAAAUCAGAAGCCAUAAGACCUAGCCUCUAUUCUGGAGAAACUACACUGGAGACAGACAAUGUCGCUCAGGUGGUCUGUGGCUGGAUGCAAUCACACAGAAAGAUCAAUUGUGUUCAGGACACUUUAUGCACCCUCACUUUGAUCCACCAAAUAACACCGUCAGGAACCAUCCGCAUGAGACUUCACAGCCAAAACCCUGCAAGCUCCCUGAAGGCUUCUCCUGAAAUGGCAAAUGCUUGAUUCAAGGUGUUUGCUAAUCCUUGGUGUGGAAACAAGACUUUGCAAUGCAGCAGGCAAGAUACACUCCAACAACGAAGCAAGUUUUUGGAUGGAUUCCAAGAGAAAAAUAACUCUUACCUCACGGAUUUGGAGAUAGAGACCCUUGGGAAGAG
rnacentral:lncRNA from 1 species